rnacentral:rRNA from 1 species
UGCAGUCGACGAGAAUCUCUUCGGAGAGGAAAGUGGCGCACGGGUGCGUAACACGUGGAUAACCAACCCUCUGGUUUGGGACAACACUGGGAAACUGGUGCUAAUACCGGAUGUGUCGAGCGAGUCGUCAGGCACGCUCGAGAAAGGCCCGCAAGGGUCGCCAGAGGACGGGUCCGCGUCCCAUCAGCUAGUUGGUGAGGUAAAGGCUCACCAAGGCGAAGACGGGUAGCUGGUCUGAGAGGAUGAUCAGCCACACUGGAACUGAGACACGGUCCAGACUCCUACGGGAGGCAGCAGUGGGGAAUAUUGCGCAAUGGGCGAAAGCCUGACGCAGCCACGCCGCGUGAGCGAUGAAGGCCCUCGGGUCGUAAAGCUCUGUGGGGGGAGAAGAAUAAAGCCGGUGAAGAGCCGGCCUUGACGGUAUCCCUUUAGCAAGCACCGGCUAACUCCGUGCCAGCAGCCGCGGUAAUACGGAGGGUGCAAACGUUGCUCGGAAUCAUUGGGCGUAAAGCGCGCGUAGGCGGCUUGGCAAGUUGGAUGUGAAAGCCCUGGGCUCAACCCAGGAUGUGCAUUCAAAACUGUCUGGCUUGAAUCUCGGAGGGGGACAGGGAAUUCCCGGUGUAGAGGUGAAAUUCGUAGAUAUCGGGAGGAACACCAGUGGCGAAGGCGCUGUCCUGGACGAUGAUUGACGCU